GUUGAUGUUUUAAGAUUUGGGCUUCUGGAGGAUACGCCAUCAAACAGAAAUACUGGAAAUUGUAAUGCCGAUGAUGAUGGGAGUCCUAAUGAAAGUGAUCGGAAAACGCUACGGCCUCCAAGUUGUUCCAAAACAUUCAAUGUUGAAACUAGCCAUGCUGCAAAAAUUCCCAUGAAUUGAGCAUAUCCUUUUUUCAUAUUUCUGAUUAAAUAUAUGUAUUUUCAGCACCUUUCUUAUUUGUACUCCUAUAUGUUUAGAGUGAGAAGCCACUACCAAUCUAGAAUCUUUGACACCUGCUCACAUAUGUUUGAUGGCUUAUCCUCCAGAGCAAGUGAGGCUAACUUAGUCUUCUUUGGGGACUUUGAAGAAAAGAACAGAAUUUUAGCAGGGUAGAGGGAACCCAAUCAUAUUAGCUACCAUUUGACUGGAUCCAGUGGAUUACUAUUUGAUAGAGCGCGCAUGAAUUCCUCUGCUGGUAAUUUUUUUUUCAUCAACAAUGUUUGAUUUUUCAGAGACGUAGCUUUUUUGGUUUGAUUAGGUAAAUAUUUGAUUUAACAACUACAUAUCUGUUCCCAACAGUCUGAUUUGUAAAGGAGGCAUUCCAUUUUAGCAGCUGGGUUGUCAUAUAGUUAUAUAGGCAUUGCAAUGAUUAUUUUCAUUGGGAUAUAUAGCACCAAGUACACCAAAUUUCAGCAUCCUUAUCUUUACGGACUUGCAUGUUCGAUGAUCAGAACUGGGCUAUAUAUGGGCAAAAAUGGCCGGCCAAAUACUGCUUCCUCUGUUUGAUGACCAAUUUAGAAAUGUGUUAUUACUUGAAACAUAAUUAACGGAAUAAAGAAUGAUUAAGAAAUAGAGAAUUGAAUAGAUCUAGAGAUUUUCUGGUUCUUACUUCUUAGUUUCAUUUUAAAUUAUCUGAGUUUUCAUUUAGCAUCAGAUUUCAUUGCAUUGUU